AAAUUAGUGAUAAGGAUUUUGUGUGUGUGUGUGUGCAAGGGUGAUGCAAUAGUGUAAAGAAGUAUGGAGCAUGUCAGCAGUCGUAGCAGGCUUCCCUUCAAUGGUAGCGUCUGUGGGCAGCCAGCCCUGAGCCGAUUAAGUGUGUGGGACUAAAUGCAACCCAACUCCACUGAUGAUAUAAGACAUCCAUUUUCCCCUUUUCUGCAACAGGGGGCAAGGACACCAUACUGUUCAGCGACCCCACUCUUCCUAGUGGACAGAGGUCGAGAUCCCCACUGCUGAAGUUUGUCGAGCAGCCCACUGAGAACAAAGCAGAUCCCAAGGAUGGGGAGGCUCAGAAGCAAGAAGGAGAUGAAAGUUGUGCUGCUGCUGAGGCGUUGACAGCGCCUGAGGAUGCUGGGAGGCCCGCUGUCAACUCCCCAGCAAAUCAGAGCCGCGGGAACCAAUGCAAGCUCUUUCAUCCUUCAUUACCCCA
rnacentral:sRNA from 1 species